AGUCGAACGCGCAGCGCGGGGCAACCUGGCGGCGAGUGGCGAACGGGUGAGUAAUAUAUCGGAACGUACCCUGGAGUGGGGGAUAACGUAGCGAAAGUUACGCUAAUACCGCAUACGAUCUAAGGAUGAAAGUGGGGGAUCGCAAGACCUCAUGCUCCUGGAGCGGCCGAUAUCUGAUUAGCUAGUUGGUGGGGUAAAGGCCUACCAAGGCAUCGAUCAGUAGCUGGUCUGAGAGGACGACCAGCCACACUGGAACUGAGACACGGUCCAGACUCCUACGGGAGGCAGCAGUGGGGAAUUUUGGACAAUGGGCGAAAGCCUGAUCCAGCAAUGCCGCGUGAGUGAAGAAGGCCUUCGGGUUGUAAAGCUCUUUUGUCAGGGAAGAAACGGUGAGGGCUAAUAUCUUUUGCUAAUGACGGUACCUGAAGAAUAAGCACCGGCUAACUACGUGCCAGCAGCCGCGGUAAUACGUAGGGUGCAAGCGUUAAUCGGAAUUACUGGGCGUAAAGCGUGCGCAGGCGGUUUUGUAAGUCUGUCGUGAAAUCCCCGGGCUCAACCUGGGAAUUGCGAUGGAGACUGCAAGGCUAGAAUCUGGCAGAGGGGGGUAGAAUUCCACGUGUAGCAGUGAAAUGCGUAGAGAUGUGGAGGAACACCGAUGGCGAAGGCAGCCCCCUGGGUCAAGAUUGACGCUCAUGCACGAAAGCGUGGGGAGCAAACAGGAUUAGAUACCCCUGGUAGUCCACGCCCU
rnacentral:rRNA from 1 species